rnacentral:rRNA from 1 species
GGGAGGACCAUCUCCCAACCCUAAAUACUCCCUAGUGACCGAUAGUGAACCAGUACCGUGAGGGAAAGGUGAAAAGCACCCCGGGAGGGGAGUGAAAUAGAACCUGAAACCGUGUGCCUACAACAAGUUCGAGCCUGUUAAUGGGUGAGAGCGUGCCUUUUGUAGAAUGAACCGGCGAGUUACGUUAUGAUGCGAGGUUAAGUUGAAGAGACGGAGCCGUAGGGAAACCGAGUCUGAAUAGGGCGCCUUAGUAUCAUGACGUAGACCCGAAACCAUGUGACCUACCCAUGAGCAGGUUGAAGGUGCGGUAAGACGCACUGGAGGACCGAACCAGGGCACGUUGAAAAGUGCUUGGAUGACUUGUGGGUAGCGGAGAAAUUCCAAACGAACUUGGAGAUAGCUGGUUCUCUCCGAAAUAGCUUUAGGGCUAGCGUCGACAUUAGAGAUUCUUGGAGGUAGAGCACUGUUUGGGUGAGGGGUCCAUCCCGGAUUACCAAUCUCAGAUAAACUCCGAAUGCCAAUGAAUUAUGGUCGGCAGUCAGACUGCGAGUGCUAAGAUCCGUAGUCGAAAGGGAAACAGCCCAGACCACCAGCUAAGGUCCCAAAAUAAUUGUUAAGUGGAAAAGGAUGUGGGGUUGCACAGACAACUAGGAUGUUAGCUUAGAAGCAGCUAUUCAUUCAAAGAGUGCGUAAUAGCUCACUAGUCGAGUGACCCUGCGCCGAAAAUGUACCGGGGCUAAAACAAUUUACCGAAGCUGUGGAUACCUUUAUAGGUAUGGUAGGAGAGCGUUCUAUGUGUGAUGAAGGUAUACCGUGAGGAGUGCUGGAACGCAUAGAAGUGAGAAUGCCGGUAUGAGUAGCGAAAGACAGGUGAGAAUCCUGUCCACCGUAAGACUAAGGUUUCCAGGGGAAGGCUCGUCCGCCCUGGGUUAGUCGGGACCUAAGGAGAGACCGAAAGGUGUAUCCGAUGGACAACAGGUUGAUAUUCCUGUACUAGAGUAUGUAGUGAUGGAGGGACGCAGUAGGCUAACUAAAGCAGACGAUUGGAAGAGUCUGUCUAAGCAGUGAGGUGUGAAUUGAGUCAAAUGCUUAAUUCUAUAACAUUGAGCUGUGAUGGGGAGCGAAGUUUAGUAGCGAAGUUAGUGACGUCACACUGCCAAGAAAAGCUUCUAGCGUUUAAACAUACUCUACCCGUACCGCAAACCGACACAGGUAGUCGAGGCGAGUAGCCUCAGGUGAGCGAGAGAACUCUCGUUAAGGAACUCGGCAAAAUGACCCCGUAACUUCGGGAGAAGGGGUGCUGACUUAAAGUCAGCCGCAGUGAAUAGGCCCAAGCAACUGUUUAUCAAAAACACAGCUCUCUGCUAAAUCGUAAGAUGAUGUAUAGGGGGUGACGCCUGCCCGGUGCUGGAAGGUUAAGAGGAGUGCUUAGCGUAAGCGAAGGUAUGAAUUGAAGCCCCAGUAAACGGCGGCCGUAACUAUAACGGUCCUAAGGUAGCGAAAUUCCUUGUCGGGUAAGUUCCGACCCGCACGAAAGGCGUAAUGAUUUGGGCACUGUCUCAACGAGAGACUCGGUGAAAUUUUAGUACCUGUGAAGAUGCAGGUUACCCGCGACAGGACGGAAAGACCCCAUGGAGCUUUACUGCAGUUUGAUAUUGAGUGUCUGUACCACAUGUACAGGAUAGGUAGGAGUCUAAGAGAUCGGGACGCCAGUUUCGAAGGAGACGCUGUUGGGAUAAAGGUAUAAGGGAGCUUGACUGCGAGAGCUACAACUCGAGCAGGGACGAAAGUCGGGCUUAGUGAUCCGGUGGUUCCGUAUGGAAGG